GACGAACGCUGGCGGCGUGCUUAACACAUGCAAGUCGAACGGAAAGGCCCUGCUUUUGUGGGGUGCUCGAGUGGCGAACGGGUGAGUAACACGUGAGUAACCUGCCCUUGACUUUGGGAUAACUUCAGGAAACUGGGGCUAAUACCGGAUAGGAGCUCCUGCUGCUUGGUGGGGGUUGGAAAGUUUCGGCGGUUGGUGAUGGACUCGCGGCUUAUCAGCUCGUUGGUGGGUGGUGGCUUACCAAGGCUUUGACGGGUAGCCGGCCUGAGAGGGUGACCGGCCACAUUGGGACUGAGAUGCGGCCCAGACUCCUACGGGAGGCAGCAGUGGGGAAUAUUGCACAAUGGGCGGACGCCUGAUGCAGCAACGCCGCGUGCGUGAUGACGGCCUUCGGGUUGUAAACCGCUUUCGCCUGUGACGAAGCGUGAGUGACGGUAAUGGGUAAAGAAGCACCGGCUAACUACGUG
rnacentral:rRNA from 1 species